rnacentral:snoRNA from 1 species
UCCUGAUGAUACCCCAGCUGGCACCAGUCAUAGAGUGACUUGUACUCCCUUCCUUGAUGACCAAUAUUGCUGUGGUCUUAGACCAUUUCUGAA